GACGAACGCUGGCGGCGUGCUUAACACAUGCAAGUCGAACGGGUCUGCCCUGUUUUUUGCGGGGUGGGUCAGUGGCGAACGGGUGAGUAACACGUGAGUAACCUGCCCCUCACUUCUGGAUAACCGCUUGAAAGGGUGGCUAAUACGGGGUGUUCUGGCUGUGCCGCAUGGUGUGGCUGGGAAAGAUUCACUUUUGUGGUGUUUUGGUGGGGGAUGGGCUCGCGGCCUAUCAGCUUGUUGGUGGGGUGAUGGCCUGCCAAGGCUUUGACGGGUAGCCGGCCUGAGAGGGUGGGCGGUCACACUGGGACUGAGGUACGGCCCAGACUCCUGCGGGAGGCAGCAGUGGGGGGUAGUGCACAAUGGGCGGAAGCCUGAUGCAGCGACGUCGCGUGAGGGAUGGAGGCCUUCGGGUUGUGAACCUCUUUCGCCGGUGAAGAAGGUCCUGCUCUUUGGGGUGGGGUUGACGGUAGCCGGGUUAUGAAGCGCCGGCUAACUACGUG
rnacentral:rRNA from 1 species